UUCCUCUUGUAAGAUGAAUAUGAUGCUUUGU
rnacentral:piRNA from 1 species